UGAUCCAGUGUAUGUGGUAGUGUUCAGACUUUUCCUUCCUGCUGCCUUGCUGCUAUUCACCUUUUCUCCCUCCUCCAUGCCAUCUACUGCAGUGACUGGGUGAGGCACUUGUGAGAACAGGCUCUGCCAAAGACGAGACUUGGGAAAUUGCAGUUACUGAGCUGCAGAAACACAGCUGGCUCAGCUGGGGCCCAUCAGAGUGCACUUUUGUUGACUCGAGAUUAUUCUUUUAGCAGAUUUCCGUUGGAGCUGCUCACAAAAGUGGGAAUUGCUGGGUUAAUCUUCAUAAAAGAUAGAAAAGUUGGCAGCAGAAGGAAUUUUUGAAAAAGCAAAUUAAAG